rnacentral:misc_RNA from 1 species
GAUGAAGAACGUAGCGAAAUGCGAUAAGUAAUGUGAAUUGCAGAAUUCAGUGAAUCAUCGAAUCUUUGAACGCAUCUUGCGCUCCUUGGUAUUCUGAGGAGCAUGCCUGUUUGAGUGUCAUUAAAUUCUCAACCGCACUGACUUUGAAUUGGUGUGGCUUGGAUUUGGGGGGAAAAUUGUUGUGGGCUUUUUUGUAUAGUCUGCUCCCCUGAAAUUGAUUAGCGGUACCUUUGUGGAACUGUCUACAGGUGUGAUAAUUAUCUACAUCCUAGACAUCUGCUGGAAUGCUGCUUUCUAAACCUUACUUGUAUUGACAAUCUUGACCUCAAAUCAGGUAGGACUACCCGCUGAACUUAAGCAUAUCAAUAAGCGGAGA